rnacentral:rRNA from 1 species
ACUCAAAUGAAUAGACGGGGACCCGCACAAGCAGCGGAGCAUGUGGUUUAAUUCGAAGCAACGCGAAAAACCUUACCAAGACUUGACAUCGUAUGACCAUCAUAGAGAUAUGACUUUCUGUAGUAAUACAGACAUAUAGACAGGUGGUGCAUGGUUGUCGUCAGCUCGUGUCGUGAGAUGUUGGGUUAAGUCCCGCAACGAGCGCAACCCUUAUAUCCGGUUGCCAAUAUUCAGUUAGGAACUCCGGAUAGACUGCCGUGGAUAACACGGAGGAAGGUGGGGAUGACGUCAAAUCAUCAUGCCCCUUACGUCUUGGGCUACACACGUGCUACAAUGGCUACUACAAAGAGCCGCAAAACAGUAAUGUCAAGCGAAUCUCAAAAAGGUAGUCUCAGUUCGGAUUGAGGGCUGCAACCCGCCCUCAUGAAGUCGGAGUUGCUAGUAAUCCCAAAUCAGCAUGUUGGGGUGAAUGCGUUCCCGGGUCUUGUACACACCGCCCGU